AUGUCGUUGCCAAGGGCAACCACAUCUUUAAAUACACGCUCGGAAGCUCAGUGCUCAGUGAGAUCCAGCGCAUCAUCCAUAAGGUCUGCGGCAGUCCAAGCUAGAGCAAGAGCCGAAGCAGCAAAGGCACGUCUGCUCUACUUUGAAGAAGAGGCUAAAUUGAAAUUGAAGUUGGAAUUGCUUAGGCAUAAAAGAGAGGCAGCUGCAGCCAUUGCUGAAGCGGAUGCACUUGAGGCUGCUACUGAUGAGAAUAGUGAGGGAGACAGGUGUGGGCUAAACAUGGACUCUGUCCCAUUGGUGGCUUCAGAACGCACAAAGCGAUAUGUGGCUGAACACAUCAAAGCUGAGUCGUAUCUGCAUCAGAACAACACUACUCCACAUCCUCUCCCCUCACAGCAGCCUCUCAUCCACACAGAAGAGUAUAUCCAUGGGCCACUAGCCAGGAUGUGUGAAGAUGCUGAUCCGCCUCGCGUCGGGUUCAGCGGUGAGCAUGUUGAUCCUGCACGCCAUUCCAGGCCACAUAGUUGCAACAGUCCUUCUCAUGCAUGUUAUGCCAUACCACCGAGCUCUGAUAAUGGCUAUUCACAUGUAAAUGACUUUGUAAGAUAUUUAGCCCGCCGUGAACUUGUGGCUACAGGCCUACUUCAUUUUAACGACAAGCCACAAAACUACAGAGCAUGGAAACGCUCCUUUCUGAAUGCCAUCAGUGGCCUUAAUCUGACACCGAGUGAGGAGAUGGAUCUUCUGUUUAAGUGGCUGGGCAAGGAGUCAGCAGAACACAUUGAACAGAUAAGAGCAAUCCACAUACACCACCCAGAAGCAGGACUGGCCAUGACAUGGAACAGGCUCGAGCAAACGUACGGCUCAGCAGAGGUAAUAGAAAAUGCUCUGUUCAAACGCAUUGACAGCUUCCCAAAAGUAACAAGCCGAGAUGGAUCUAUGCUGACGAAGCUGGGCGAUCUAUUAAUGGAACUGCAGGCAGCUAAGGGUGAAGGAGACCUGCCCGGCCUCGCUUUCCUUGACACGGCGAGGGGCGUCAACCCAAUCGUACAGAAACUCCCAUCUCGCCUUCAGGAGAGGUGGGCGACAGCAGGCGCAGCCUACAAGCGUCAGCAACAGGUGAAUUAUCCUCCCUUUGCCUUCUUUGUGGAUUUUGUCUGCCAGCAGGCAUGCAUUAUGAACGAUCCCAGCUUCAACUUCAUCGCCAGCACAGACACGGCUCCCUGGACAGAGAAAACAGCAUGGAAGCCAAACAGACAGCGAGAGGUCUCCGUUCACAAGACAGAGGUAUCCCCCAGAGCCACAUCUGACAUGGGUGAGCCACCUACAAACAACGGUGAUAAACUGUGUCUACUGCACAACCUGCCACACCCUCUGCGUAAGUGUCGGGCAUUUAGAGAGAAGCCCAUUGAAGAGCGCAAAACACUGCUCAAAGAUAACAAUGUGUGCUUUAAAUGCUGCUCUUCAUCGUCCCACAUAGCAAAGUACUGCAAGAUCAACGUACAGUGUUCUGAAUGUAAGAGCGACAGACACAACACAGCACUUCACCCUGGACCUGCACCCUGGAAACAAGAGGUCGGCCAUGCUUCUGAGCACGGCGGGGAGCAGGAGGGAGCUUCACCACAGUCUCAUGUCAACAACAAAUGCACUAAAGUCUGCGGUGGCGAGCUCACAGACCGCUCGUGCUCGAAGAUAUGCCUCGUCAAAGUGUAUCCGACUGGCCAUAGAGAAAAAGCAGUGAAAUUGUAUGUGAUCCUGGACGAACAGAGCAACAGGUCACUGGCUCGUUCACAGUUCUUCGACGUGUUCAACGACCAAAGUCCAAGCGCUCCAUACACACUGAGAACAUGUGCUGGAGUGAAGCAAUCAGCAGGCAGAAGAGCCAAUGCU
ensembl:lncRNA